rnacentral:rRNA from 1 species
GACGAACGCUGGCGGCGUGCUUAACACAUGCAAGUCGAACGAUGAAGCCGGAGCUUGCUCCGGUGGAUUAGUGGCGAACGGGUGAGUAACACGUGAGCAAUCUGCCCUUGACUCUGGGAUAACUGCGGGAAACUGUAGCUAAUACCGGAUACGACACCUUGGGGCAUCCCAGGGUGUGGAAAGAAUUUCGGUCAAGGAUGAGCUCGCGGCCUAUCAGCUAGUUGGUGAGGUAAUGGCUCACCAAGGCGACGACGGGUAGCCGGCCUGAGAGGGUGACCGGCCACACUGGAACUGAGACACGGUCCAGACUCCUACGUGAGGCAGCAGUGGGGAAUGUUGCACAAUGGGCGCAAGCCUGAUGCAGCAACGCCGCGUGAGGGAUGACGGCCUUCGGGUUGUAAACCUCUUUUAGCAGGGAAGAAGCGAAAGUGACGGUACCUGCAGAAAAAGCACCGGCUAACUACGUGCCAGCCGCCGCCGUAA